GACGAACGCUGGCGGCGUGCUUAACACAUGCAAGUCGUGCGGUAAGGCCCUUUCGGGGGUACCCGAGCGGCGAACGGGUGAGUAACACGUGAGCAACCUGCCCUUCACUUUGGGAUAACUGCCGGAAACGGUGGCUAAUACCGGAUAUGACUCACUCACGCAUGUGGGGUGGUGGAAAGCUUUCGGGUGGUGGGGGAUGGGCUCGCGGUCUAUCAGCUUGUUGGUGGGGUGAUGGCCUACCAAGGCUUCGACGGGUAGCCGGCCUGAGAGGGUGACCGGCCACACUGGGACUAAGGCACGGCCCAGACUGCUACGGGAGGCAGCGGUGGGGAGUAUUGUACAGUGGUAGAGAGCCUGUUCAAGCAGCGCCGUGGGAGGGAUGACGGCCUGCUGGGUGUGAACCUCUUUCGCCUGCGACGAAGCGAGAGUGACGGUAGCAGGUAAAUAAGCACCGGCCAACUACGUG
rnacentral:rRNA from 1 species